AGCGGGGAGCGCCUGCGGAUCACGAUGGCAAACGGCGAUCGCCUCCAGUGUCAUGGGCUCGCCCGCGACGUUCCCAUCUCCAUCGGUGGCGAGCACUUCUCCAUUACCUGUGUAGGGAUCGACCUCGGCUGCUUCGACUUCAUCCUCGGGGUGGAUUUCCUCCGGACCCUCGGGCCCAUCCUGUGGGACUUCGACGUGCUCACGAUGACGUUCUGGCGGCUAGGCCGCCGCAUCCGGUGGGACGGCCUUGGGGGCGCCGCACCGGGCGUGCCACACCUCCAGCUGGCCGCCGUGUCCCAGGAGGCCGAGCACCCCCUGCUGGAUCCCCUUCUGCAGCAGCACAUCGAUCUCUUCGACGAGCCACGGGGUCUUCCGCCCGCCCGGGUGUACGACCACCAUAUUCACCUCGUACCGGGUUCCACCCCCGUGGCGGUUCGGCCCUACCGCUACCCGCAGCUGCAGAAGGAUGAGUUGGAGCGACAGUGUGCCCUUAUGCUCGCGGCAGGCAUCAUCCGGAUCUCCAUGUCGCCCUUCUCCGCGCCGGUGCUUCUCGUCCGCAAGACGGACGGCACGUGGCGUUUCUGCAUCGACUACCGCACCCUGAACGCGCUCACGCUCAAGGACAAGUUCCCUAUAUCGGUGGUCGACGAGCUCUUGGAUGAGCUCCAUGGGGCGCGCUUCUUCACCAAGCUCGAUCUCCGCUCGGGCUAUCAUCAGGUGUGCAUGCAUCCAGAUGACAUCGCCACGACGGUGUUUCGCACCCACCAUGGCCACUUCGAGUUCUUGGUGAUGCCCUUCGGCCUCGCCAACGCCCCGGCGACUUUCCAGGCCCUGAUGAACGACGUCCUUCGA
rnacentral:rRNA from 1 species